UGGGACACAUGCCUGAGGUAGUGACA
rnacentral:piRNA from 1 species